CCUACGGGAGGCAGCAGUGAGGAAUAUUGGUCAAUGGACGAGAGUCUGAACCAGCCAAGUAGCGUGAAGGAUGACUGCCCUAUGGGUUGUAAACUUCUUUUAUAUGGGAAUAAAAUGUUCCACGUGUGGGAUUUUGUAUGUACCAUAUGAAUAAGGAUCGGCUAAAUCCGUGCCAGCAGCCGCGGUAAUACGGAGGAUCCGAGCGUUAUCCGGAUUUAUUGGGUUUAAAGGGAGCGUAGGUGGAUUGUUAAGUCAGUUGUGAAAGUUUGCGGCUCAACCGUAAAAUUGCAGUUGAGACUGGCAGUCUUGAGUACAGUAGAGGUGGGCGGAAUUCGUGGUGUAGCGGUGAAAUGCUUAGAUAUCACGAAGAACUCCGAUUGCGAAGGCAGUUCACUGGACUGCAACUGACACUGAGGCUCGAAAGUGUGGGUAUCAAACAGGAGUAGAUACCCCAGUAGUC
rnacentral:rRNA from 1 species